rnacentral:rRNA from 2 species
UUUAUGGAGAGUUUGAUCCUGGCUCAGGAUGAACGCUGGCGGCGUGCCUAAUACAUGCAAGUCGAGCGAACGGACGAGAAGCUUGCUUCUCUGAUGUUAGCGGCGGACGGGUGAGUAACACGUGGAUAACCUACCUAUAAGGCUGGGAUAACUUCGGGAAACCGGAGCUAAUACCGGAUAAUAUUUUGAACCGCAUGGUUCAAAAGUGAAAGACGGUCUUGCUGUCACUUAUAGAUGGAUCCGCGCUGCAUUAGCUAGUUGGUAAGGUAACGGCUUACCAAGGCAACGAUGCAUAGCCGACCUGAGAGGGUGAUCGGCCACACUGGAACUGAGACACGGUCCAGACUCCUACGGGAGGCAGCAGUAGGGAAUCUUCCGCAAUGGGCGAAAGCCUGACGGAGCAACGCCGCGUGAGUGAUGAAGGUCUUCGGAUCGUAAAACUCUGUUAUUAGGGAAGAACAUAUGUGUAAGUAACUGUGCACAUCUUGACGGUACCUAAUCAGAAAGCCACGGCUAACUACGUGCCAGCAGCCGCGGUAAUACGUAGGUGGCAAGCGUUAUCCGGAAUUAUUGGGCGUAAAGCGCGCGUAGGCGGUUUUUUAAGUCUGAUGUGAAAGCCCACGGCUCAACCGUGGAGGGUCAUUGGAAACUGGAAAACUUGAGUGCAGAAGAGGAAAGUGGAAUUCCAUGUGUAGCGGUGAAAUGCGCAGAGAUAUGGAGGAACACCAGUGGCGAAGGCGACUUUCUGGUCUGUAACUGACGCUGAUGUGCGAAAGCGUGGGGAUCAAACAGGAUUAGAUACCCUGGUAGUCCACGCCGUAAACGAUGAGUGCUAAGUGUUAGGGGGUUUCCGCCCCUUAGUGCUGCAGCUAACGCAUUAAGCACUCCGCCUGGGGAGUACGACCGCAAGGUUGAAACUCAAAGGAAUUGACGGGGACCCGCACAAGCGGUGGAGCAUGUGGUUUAAUUCGAAGCAACGCGAAGAACCUUACCAAAUCUUGACAUCCUUUGACAACUCUAGAGAUAGAGCCUUCCCCUUCGGGGGACAAAGUGACAGGUGGUGCAUGGUUGUCGUCAGCUCGUGUCGUGAGAUGUUGGGUUAAGUCCCGCAACGAGCGCAACCCUUAAGCUUAGUUGCCAUCAUUAAGUUGGGCACUCUAAGUUGACUGCCGGUGACAAACCGGAGGAAGGUGGGGAUGACGUCAAAUCAUCAUGCCCCUUAUGAUUUGGGCUACACACGUGCUACAAUGGACAAUACAAAGGGCAGCGAAACCGCGAGGUCAAGCAAAUCCCAUAAAGUUGUUCUCAGUUCGGAUUGUAGUCUGCAACUCGACUACAUGAAGCUGGAAUCGCUAGUAAUCGUAGAUCAGCAUGCUACGGUGAAUACGUUCCCGGGUCUUGUACACACCGCCCGUCACACCACGAGAGUUUGUAACACCCGAAGCCGGUGGAGUAACCUUUUAGGAGCUAGCCGUCGAAGGUGGGACAAAUGAUUGGGGUGAAGUCGUAACAAGGUAGCCGUAUCGGAAGGUGCGGCUGGAUCACCUCCUUU